UGAGCCACAUCCCUGCUUCACUACAUAACUGGUUACUUAGCAGCGCUGUCUGAAUUGGACUAGUGUUCUCUAAGCUUCUGGAGGGAGAGGACAGGGCUUAAAAGAAAAGUGAAGGUGGUGUUUGCUUAUGCCAUUAUCUAAGAGUGCUCCCUAGUCACUAUAUGAGGCAUAAUCAAGAAGAAAAUAUCUCCAG